GGUUCUUGACUUACAAAUAGCCAUCGAAAACAUUACUGCCUCUUAUAACAAUGAGACUGUGACACUUCAAGACAUCUGCUUGGCCCCUCUUUCACCGUAUAACACGAACUGCACCAUUAUGAGUGUGUUAAAUUACUUCCAGAACAGCCAUUCCGUGCUGGACCACAAGAAAGGGGACGACUUCUUUGUGUAUGCUGAUUACCACACGCACUUUCUGUACUGCGUACGGGCUCCUGCCUCUCUGAAUGAUACAAGUUUGCUCCAUGACCCUUGUCUGGGUACGUUUGGUGGACCAGUGUUCCCGUGGCUUGUGUUGGGCGGCUAUGAUGGUAAGUAAGAGGAGCUUUGACUUUUCCUUUUAGAUAAAGUCAUCUCGGUUUUGUUAUUAGCAUCAAGUGGUAAUUAUGAAG
rnacentral:sRNA from 1 species